rnacentral:rRNA from 1 species
UACGUAGGGUGCAAGCGUUAAUCGGAAUUACUGGGCGUAAAGCGUGCGCAGGCGGUUUUGUAAGACUGUCGUGAAAUCCCCGGGCUCAACCUGGGAAUGGCGAUGGUGACUGCAAGGCUAGAGUUUGGCAGAGGGGGUAGAAUUCCACGUGUAGCAGUGAAAUGCGUAGAUAUGUGGAGGAACACCGAUGGCGAAGGCAGCCCCCUGGGUCAAAACUGACGCUCAUGCACGAAAGCGUGGGGAGCAACAGG